rnacentral:lncRNA from 1 species
CUCUACUGAAGGCUACUCUUCUUAUCAAGUAACGUCUUCUCCAUGCUCUUGACCCUUGCCCCUUCAGACCUAUGGAUGGUAAUAACCUGCCCACACCUAGUUUACCAUCAGAGGACACAGCAGCAAGGUGCCAUCCUAGAAGCAGAGAGCAGACCCUUACCAGACAACCAACCAGCUGGUGCCAUGAUCUUGGACUUCUCGGCCUCCAGAACUCUAAUUAUGUUACUUCUGUUUCACAUGGAUCUCAUAUAGAAAAUGCACAAGUGUUUAAGAACAGAAUAUAAUGAUGAAGGAAUAUCAAUAAGUAUAUUUUUUGCAUUGGUUAUAUUAGUCAAACAUGGCAUUACAAAAGGAGUGUCUAAUCUUCCCCAGAUGUCAUUAUAAGACAUUUACCUCCACCUUGGAAGAAUACAAAGGACUCCACUUAAAAGGCAAAUCAAGCCAAACCUUAUAAAGACAAGCCACAGACUUCAGGUUACAUGUUUUGAGUUCUGCACAAAAUAUUUGAAUGGGUGCUUCAUAAAAGAUGAUAUAUGAGGACUUGGGGCAGAACAAGAUGGCAGAAUAGAAGGCUCCGCCAAUUGUCCCUGCUUCAAGGACACCAAUUUAACAACUAACUACAUAAAAUAGCACCUUUAUAAGAACCAAAAAUCAG